rnacentral:rRNA from 1 species
GAUGAACGCUGGCGGCGUGCCUAAUACAUGCAAGUCGAGCGAACAGACGAGGAGCUUGCUCCUCUGACGUUAGCGGCGGACGGGUGAGUAACACGUGGAUAACCUACCUAUAAGACUGGGAUAACUUCGGGAAACCGGAGCUAAUACCGGAUAAUAUAUUGAACCGCAUGGUUCAAUAGUGAAAGACGGUUUUGCUGUCACUUAUAGAUGGAUCCGCGCUGCAUUAGCUAGUUGGUAAGGUAACGGCUUACCAAGGCGACGAUGCGUAGCCGACCUGAGAGGGUGAUCGGCCACACUGGAACUGAGACACGGUCCAGACUCCUACGGGAGGCAGCAGUAGGGAAUCUUCCGCAAUGGGCGAAAGCCUGACGGAGCAACGCCGCGUGAGUGAUGAAGGUCUUCGGAUCGUAAAACUCUGUUAUUAGGGAAGAACAAAUGUGUAAGUAACUAUGCACGUCUUGACGGUACCUAAUCAGAAAGCAACGGCUAACUACGUG